GACAAAAGGUUUUCCAGCAUUUCUUCUUCAAGUAAUCAACAAACUUCUUCGGUUAGAGUCAACCCUUAUCCAACUGUGCCACCGCCUUCCUCUCAUAUAGGGCUGCCGCUUUUCUGGAUUGGAGUAGGUGUUGGGCUCUCAGCACUUUUUACAUGGGUAGCUUCAAGCUUAAAGGUGAGGGUUCUUUCCUUUGAGGUAUGGUUAUAUUGUUUUGCCCGUAAGUUGUAUGAUUGAAUGUUAU